rnacentral:rRNA from 1 species
CCCUUAGAUGUUCUGGGCCGCACCCGCGCUACAAUGGUGAAUUCAACAAGUCAACCAAAGCCGAUAGGUGGAGGUAAACUCGUAGUAUUCGCCGUGAUGGGGAUAGACCCUUGUAAUUAUUGGUCUCCAACGAGGAAUUCCUAGUAGACGCAAGUCAUCAACUUGCAUCGAUUACGUCCCUGCCCUUUGUACACACCGCCCGUCGCUCCUACCGAUCGAAGAGUUAGGUGAAUUGUUUUGAUCGAUAAGAUUUGACUAUGGUCAACUCUCGUUGUGAAAUUCUGUGAAUCUGACUGUUUAGAGGAAGGAAAAGUCGUAACA